rnacentral:rRNA from 1 species
AUGAACGCUAGCGGCAGGCUUAACACAUGCAAGUCGAGGGGCAGCAUACCCAGCAAUGGGUGAUGGCGACCGGCGGAAGGGUGCGUAACGCGUGAGCAACAUGCCCAUAUCAGUGGGAUAAUCCAGGGAAACUUGGUCUAAUACCACAUAGUAUCUUUUAGAGACAUCUUUAAAAGAUUAAAGAUUUAUCGGAUAUGGAUUGGCUCGCGUGACAUUAGCUGGAUGGUAGGGUAACGGCCUACCAUGGCAAUGAUGUCUAGGGGUUCUGAGAGGAAGGUCCCCCACACUGGAACUGAGACACGGUCCAGACUCCUACGGGAGGCAGCAGUGAGGAAUAUUGGACAAUGGAUGGAAAUCUGAUCCAGCCAUGCCGCGUGCAGGAAGAAGGUCCUAUGGAUUGUAAACUGCUUUUGUACGGGAGCAAUAAGGGCUAUGCGUAGUUCGAUGAGAGUACCGUACGAAUAAGGAUCGGCUAACUCCGUG